rnacentral:lncRNA from 1 species
CGAUGGUUAGGUCAGAGUUCUUGAGAUGAUCUCUUCCGCUAUUUCGACUUUUUUUGUUGUUUCUUGCGUUUUUCAUACACGGGUAUUCUUUUUCUUCUUCAAGAUUUUCCCUCGCGGGUUUUGCUUGAAGAGGUUUUAAUGAGGUUCGGUCCUUAGUCUGUUUUUUGUGCUUUAAAGAGUUCUUUUAGGUUUUUCUUUUUUCUUUUAAUAAUAGCUCUAUUUAAUAAAUUAAAAAUAUAUACAAAAAAGUGAAAUAAUGAGUAUAACUUUC